GUCAUUUGCCGUUUGCUUUCCCAAGAUUCUGACAUUCCCACCAACUUUCGGCGAAGCAAACUAGCAGGCUAGCACACGACGCACAGAGUGCAUAAGAAACAAGGAACUACAAAACAGAGCCAGAAACAUCAUAAGACUAGAAGCUGAACUAAACAAGUAAUGGAGCGAGGAACAAAAUAGAACUAUACGGUCGUAGCAAAUAGUCCUUACAAAUAGUCGACUAUCGGGACAUGAAAAACAUUGAGAGCUUGCUACCCUUCUUAUUUGACUCUACCAGCCACCAACUGCCGACGAGAUGACUGCGAAUAGUUUAUACUCCUCAUCCACUAGCUGCUAUGAAGGAUUUGGACAUAGCCAAAUGUCGUAGGGGCAAGAAUUCAAAACAAUUUCUGUAAUAAAUGAGGGUUUGAAAUCGAACUUGAGCUCAAGUUCAAUGCUACGUGGGCGUAUGCUACAUUAUUCUAAAAUAGCCUUCAGCCUAUCUUGCCGGCAUCGAUUGUGCGUAUCAAGCGGCUCUGCUCAUGUUACGGCCAGCAGCAACUUGGAAAUUACGAAUCCCUUCGUCAUAGCUUCUUCACAUUUCUACCCAAAACAGAUGGUGCGAAGAAAUAAAAGGCGUAUUCGAACUAGGUUCAUAGUAACUAACUUUAAGUUAGUUUAAUAUACUCGACGUUUAAUUAUCUAGAGCUAAAGACCAUUUAGUAGAGGGUAUCAGUAUCUCGUACUUGUACACCCGUGGCACAUCUAUAAGUUCUUAGUGCCCAUUCAUCAGCACAUUUGCAGCACGUCCUGGGCGCUCGGAUAUCAAAGGACUCACGCUAAAGAGAAGCUUUUUGGGAGGAGUAGUGUUUAAUGAAAACCGACUAGGGCCACAGCUGGCAUGGAAUCACCGCAAAUAUUGAACUGGUGAAAUUCCUGACCAAAUAUUAAUGUUCAACUGGGAUAAGUCACCAUAUUCAAAUGAAGUAGAGUUUAUAUUUAAU